rnacentral:rRNA from 1 species
UACAGAGGGGGCAAGCGUUAUUCGGAAUUAUUGGGCGUAAAGAGCGUGUAGGCUGCCCGGUAAGUCCGCUGUGAAAGUCGGGGGCUCAACCCUCGAAUGCCGGUGGAUACUGUCGGGCUAGAGUGCGGAAGAGGCGAGUGGAAUUCCUGGUGUAGCGGUGAAAUGCGCAGAUAUCAGGAGGAACACCAAUUGCGAAGGCAGCUCGCUGGGACGUAACUGACGCUGAGACGCGAAAGCGUGGGGAGCAAACAGG